CUUGGCUCCUGGAGCUCCGGGCGGGUGAAGCAGGGGCGUCCGAGCAGAGCAUCGCUACCACCAAGUUUAAAACCCGGGAUCCCAGCCUGCGCGGCCUCCUGGCUUGUCAUCCCCUCCAGCUUCCCCUCCCUCCCUCCCUCCCUCCGGAGAAGGGAAUAGAUGUUCCGUUCUCCUUUGUUCCAGAGCCCCUAGGCGGGAAGGUGAAAGUGCGCGGUACCCUGAGUCAGAAACCUGUGCGGGGGGCGCGGAUCCGGCCGCUGGAUGGGGCUGGAGCCCGCAGCGGGCUGGGAAUGACGCGUGGGAGGCCGAGGGCAGCGAGGUGACGCGCGAGGACCUCGCCGCCUCAGCCCACGUGUCCUCGAGAUUUAAAAGUUGGCAGCGCGCGGAGUCGCCAGUCUGGCGGCGGAGCCGGGCGAACAGCAGGCCGAGGACGCAGACACGCGGCGAGAGCAUCGCCUGGAGCGCAGGGUCCCGGGCCCCCAGCCGCCCUCAGGCGCCGAGAUGCAGGGAGUCGCGAACCGCCGCCUCGGGCAGUCCCCCGCACAGGUGACCGCGGCGCCCCCGCUCCUGCUGCUGCUCCUGCUCUCCUGUUGCACAGAGCCUGGCCGAGGUGCUCCAGUAUUGCCUCAAGGAUUACAGCCUGAACAAGAGCUACAGUUAUGGAAUGAGAUAGAUGAUGCUUGCUCGUCUUUCUUGUCCAUGAAUUCUCAGCCCCAGGCAUCCAGUGCACUGGAGGAGCUUUGCCUCACAAUUCUGGGGACUCUAGCAAAGCCCCAGGAAAUAGAUGAAAAAGAUAACACCAAAAGGUUCUUAUUUCAUUAUUCAAAGACACGAAAGUUGGGCAAUUCAAAUGUUGUGUCAUCUGUCCUGCAUCCGCUGCUGCAGCUCGUUCCGCAACUGCAUGAGAGAAGAACGAAGAGAUUCAAAGUGGACGAAGAAUUCCAAGGUCCUAUUGUAAGCCAAAAUCGAAGAUAUUUUUUAUUCAGGCCGCGCAAUGGAAGAAGAUCAGAAGGUUACAUUUAAAAUGGACACCAAGAAGUUUUUGUGACUUACUUUAUUGAGAUAUUUGCUGGCACUGAAGCUAAGAACGCCACCCAUUUUUUGCAGGAGCAAUGCCAUGGAAUACAAAAUAUACUGACUUCUUUUUUUCUUCUUAAAAGCAGUCCUUGCUAAGUUUACAAGUUUGAGAAUCUCUGUAUUGUAAACGUUUUCAGUAAAAGCUGAUUGAUAUUGUAAAUGUUUAAUUUGUUGAAAAUUAAA